rnacentral:misc_RNA from 1 species
AACCUUAUGGACCUGCGGGCGUAUACCUGCGGAAGGAUCAUUACCGAGCGAGGGCCUCCGGGUCCGACCUCCAACCCCAUGUUAUUCGACCCUGUUGCCUCGGGGGCGACCCGGCCUUCGGGCGUCGGGGCCCCCGGUGGACCACUCAACUCUGCAUCAUUGCGUCCGAGUCACAUAUUGAAUCAAUCAAAACUUUCAGCAACGGAUCU